GGAGAGGUGGCGGAAUUGGUAGACGCGCUACUUUGAGGGGGUAGUGAUAAUUGUAUCGUGGGAGUUCGAGUCUCCUCCUCUUCAC
rnacentral:tRNA from 1 species